rnacentral:rRNA from 1 species
UACGUAGGGCGCAAGCGUUAUCCGGAAUUAUUGGGCGUAAAGAGCUCGUAGGCGGUUUGUCGCGUCUGCUGUGAAAACUGGAGGCUCAACCUCCAGCCUGCAGUGGGGUACGGGCAGACUAGAGUGGCGGUAGGGGAGAUUGGAAUUCCUGGUGUAGCGGUGGAAUGCGCAGAUAUCAGGAGGAACACCGGUGGCGAAGGCGGCGAUCUGGCCCAACACUGACACUGAGACCCGAAAGCGUGGGGAUCAAACAGG